UACGUAGGGGGCAAGCGUUGUCCGGAAUCAUUGGGCGUAAAGCGCGUGUAGGCGGCUUGGUAAGUCCGCUCUGAAAGCCCGGGGCUCAACCCCGGGAGGCGGGUGGAUACUGUCAAGCUCGAGUCCGGAAGAGGCGAGUGGAAUUCCUGGUGUAGCGGUGAAAUGCGCAGAGAUCGGGAGGAACACCGGUGGCGAAGGCGGCCAGCUGGCGCUGACCUGACGCUGAGGCGCGAAGGCAUGGGGAGCGAACGGG
rnacentral:rRNA from 1 species